rnacentral:lncRNA from 1 species
UCAUGCAGAAGCCCAGUUCAAUGAGCACAAAAUAUUAUAAGACUAAUUUCUCAAAUUAAUGCAAUUAUAUGAAGUCAAAGUAGACACCACCCCAGCAAGGAGAUGACAGUCAGUAAAAUGUACAUGUGGGUGAUAACCCUGACUCUGUUCAGCCUGCACCAAGUAGAUUCCUUCCUCACUGAGUGAUGAGCUCCUCCAGCAUGCAGGCCCUUUACCAUGUCUUCAGCCUACCCAAAACAGGGGUCAUCAAUCUCUUCCUUUGCUUAUUAAAGAAGGAAUUCAAAUGUAUCAAGACCUACACAGACCUCUUCCUUUAUUACCUUAGGUCAAGGUUACUGGAAAGGAAUAUCACAGCCAUCCUGGAUUACAUGGGCUAUAAGUCCAAGUUGAGGACCAUGUAAGCCAGUCAUGGAAGGGCAAAUACUGAAUGAUUCUACUUCUAUAAGGUAUAUAAAGGAGUCAAGCUCAUAGAAGCAGAAAGUAGAAUAGUGGUUGCUGGGGCUAGGGGAAGGGAGAAAUGGAGAAUUGCUGUGCAAUGUGUAUAGAGUUUCAGUCAUGCAAGAUGAAAAAGCUAUAGAGAUGUACUGCACAACAAUGCAUAUAUAAAUGAUGCUAUACUGUACACUUACAAUUUAUUAAUAGGGUAGAUUUCAUUUUUAUGUGUUUUUAACCACAAUAAAAAAUAACUAUAAAGUACAUUACUUUAACAAUUGACCAACUGUGAAGAUUGAUUUCAUUUUAAAUAAUAGUAGUGUGUCAAAAAAAACCCCAAAAAGUGAAAAUAAUAAUAAUGAACAAAAGAUAGUAGUGUGUCAAAUUUCUGGUGUGAGGAUUAUAUUAUGAUUAAUUGGAGAGUGAUCUUGUUCUUCGAUGAUAUAUUUUAAAGUAAUUUGAAAUGAAGAAAUCCCAUAAUGCUUAAAACUUACUCUCAAAUGAUUCAGACAAAAAGAAGUGUGUGUGUGUGUGUGUGUGUGUGUGUGUGUGUGUGCGUUUACAAUUCUUAGGUUCAUUGCCUUAUAUUUGUCAAUUGUCUAAGAUUUUAAAAAUUAUAAAAUAAAAGUUAGGACAAUUCAAAGAAAUUCCUGAGAUAUUUAAAGCAUUGACUGUCAUGAUCUGAUUUGUAUUAUAGAAUGAUUAUUCUGAUUAGAGGCAAAUUUACCAUAAAUCAGGUGAAGCUUAAGCUUCCAGACUUUUUUGGUGGAUUAUUUCCAAAGCCCUGGGAAGAAGUUGAGCAAUACAUUCUUUCAAGUGAUCGUAUGCCUUUGUAAAAUUUGCAAAAUAAUAUAUUUUAUUUACAUGUUUAACCACUGUAUCUUUUGAUUCCAACUCUUCAUCUUAUCAUUAAGUGGCUCUAGAGUACUCAUGGGCAUUUUGGGGAUCAUGCUAAGGAAAACCUUAACUUAAAUUUAAUAAAAUAUUUUUGUAGUUUGUAGUCACUGCAUCAUGCAAGUAGGUAUUUGAUAGCUUCCUUACACAAGAAUGGCUUUCAGGAAUUCUUUUGCCACCUCCUGUGCAGAUGUAGGUGGCAUCCAGAAACAAAGAUGCUGAAGUGAAAUAUGAAACCAAACUAUCGCACCUAGCACCAGCAAGACAUGGGGAAUGAAGAAAUGUGCUAGCUGAAAGAGUGUUUCUUAUAUCACUCCCUGUAAAAUAUCACAAAGUGGUUAUCCCAUGAAGAGCAGAUCAAGGACUAUGUAUCCCUAAACAUAAGCAUCAGGCUGUUACAUAAUAGAAAUAUUUUUUAAAUGUUUGUGGUAUUUUACAGCUGUUUUAUACUCAUAAUUUGUUGUGCUUUCUUUUCUCAUUCUAAAUGAACAUUAACUUUCAUAAAAAUAAAUAAACCAAAUCUAAGCACAUAAAUGUACCACAGCCACUUCCUGCUGUGGCUUCUGGAACCAUCCAGGUGCCACCAACAUCUGUAUCCCGUGUUCAUAUUUUCUAGCCUCACCUGCUUCAGCACCUUCCAUUACCACACAGCUGUGAAAAGAGUCUGUUGCACAAGUUCAUGCCCUAUAAUCAGUUGAACAAGUCCACAUAGUUCUUCCAUCUUGUCUA